rnacentral:rRNA from 1 species
CGGCAACAGCUCAAAUUUGAAAUCUGGAGCCUUCGGCUUCCGAGUUGUAAUUUGAAGAGGAUGUUUCGGUGUCGGCCCUGGCCCAAGUUCCUUGGAACAGGACGUCAUGGAGGGUGAGAAUCCCGUAAAUGGCUGCUGGCCGGCUCCAUGUGAAACUCCUUCGA